rnacentral:rRNA from 1 species
UACAGAGGUGGCAAGCGUUGUUCGGAAUUACUGGGCGUAAAGGGCGCGUAGGCGGCCUUCUAAGUCGGACGUGAAAUCCCCAGGCUUAACUUGGGAACUGCGUCCGAUACUGGAGGGCUUGAGUGCGGGAGAGGGAUGUGGAAUUCCAGGUGUAGCGGUGAAAUGCGUAGAGAUCCGGAGGAACCCCAGAGGCGAAGGCGGCGCCCUGGCUCGCAACUGACGCUCAGACACGACAGCAUGGGGAGCGAACGGG